rnacentral:rRNA from 1 species
UACACUCCUACGGGAGGCAGCAGUGGGGAAUAUUGGACAAUGGGCGCAAGCCUGAUCCAGCCAUGCCGCGUGAGUGAUGAAGGCCCUAGGGUUGUAAAGCUCUUUCACCGGUGAAGAUAAUGACGGUAACCGGAGAAGAAGCCCCGGCUAACUUCGUGCCAGCAGCCGCGGUAAUACGAAGGGGGCUAGCGUUGUUCGGAUUUACUGGGCGUAAAGCGCACGUAGGCGGACUAUUAAGUCAGGGGUGAAAUCCCGGGGCUCAACCCCGGAACUGCCUUUGAUACUGGUAGUCUUGAGUUCGAGAGAGGUGAGUGGAAUUCCGAGUGUAGAGGUGAAAUUCGUAGAUAUUCGGAGGAACACCAGUGGCGAAGGCGGCUCACUGGCUCGAUACUGACGCUGAGGUGCGAAAGCGUGGGGAGCAAACAGGAUUAGAUACCCCGGUAGUCCC